GCCUGCAUGAUGCAAUAAAACUUGUAUGUUUACAUUUUGUAAUCAUCUCGAACAGUAUUUUUUAGCAAGCUUCUUCGCGUUUUUUGAAGAUUUGUGAUAAGUAAGUAAACGUGUGGUUAUGUGCGAUUCGGCGGACAUGGAUUCUGAUGCGGCUGGAGUAAUUACAUGCUAUCUAGAUGUGACUGUUUUCGUUAAUGGUUUCGAGUGCUUGUUGCUGUAGAAAAUCAUCAUCAAAAAGCACGGCAAAUUUAAAAAAGAAGAUUGAUCUGCUUGCCGUACGUGAAUUUAUUCGAUAGGAAAAGUGUCAAUUCACCAGAAGAAGCUUGUUUUAGAAUCGGUGUCAACUUUGGCCCUGCUUUUUUGGCCACUUCAUGUUUGUAGGAAUGCGAAUUGUCGAAAUUUGAAUUUGUCCUCAUUUUAAAAGACGCUCAGUGUUGUUCCGAUAAGUCAAUCAGCCUGGUCUACAAGCUGUCUAAACAGCAGUGGUCAAUUGCAGAACACACCGGUUAAAGUUAAGCUGAAUCAUUGUACAAUAAAGGAGUUGAAGAAGACCAUCAAGGGCAAGCGACACAAACGGGACUUCCGUCAGAUUACCCUGCGUGGUGCUAGUGAUAUUAGGCGACCCUAGCGACCGGCCAUCGUCGAAUUUUUAUUAUGGGCGCUAUUGGAGAAUUGGCAUCAAACCGACUCGCUUAUGUAAUACAAAUAGGACGUAGCUUCCGUAAUAAAGCUCUAUAAGUUGGAAUGCACUUUGUGAGUAGACUAUGAAAAAUAAAU